rnacentral:lncRNA from 1 species
GGAAAAGAGAAUCCAGGUGCUACAGCCCAAAGAAAAAGAAAGAGACUGUCCGGGCGUGGUGGCUCACACCUGUAUUCCCAGCACUUUGGGAGGCCAAGGCGGGUGGAUCACUUGAGGUCAGGAAUUCCAGACCAACCUGACCAACAUGGUGAAACCCCGUCUCCACUAAAAAUACAAAAAUUAGCUGUGUGUGGUGGCGGGCGCCUGUAGAACCAGCUGUUCGGGAACCUGAGGCUGGAGAAUCCCUUGAACCCGGGAGCCGGAGGUUGCAGAGAGCAGAGAUCACGCCGUUGCACUCCAGGCUGGGCGACAGCAAGACUCCAUCUCAAAAAAAGCUCUCCGUGCAUCACUAAUGUAAGGAUAGACUUUGAAUGACUGUCUUGGAGACAUCUAUGGGAUAAAAGAGAAGCAUGGGCUCUGGAAUCUGAAGAUUCUAUUCCAUUUCUGCCUCUGUGUUGUGGCUGUGUGAUGCUGGCAAAUUACAGACCUCAAGUUGAAAUAAUGAGCAUCAUAAUUACCCAUGCCCUGCCUUCCUUAAACUGCCCCCAUCCCCAAACUUCUACGAGGGCUCACAAAGAAGCUGCUUCACUCACCCAGUCGCUGCCCUGCAUCCCUGUCCAGAACUCUGCCUGCACCCUGCCCCACCCUCCCAACUCUCUCCUGCCACGUCUGCAGCUCUGCAGGCAGAGAGGGAUAAUUCCAAACCGCAGCAAUGGACAGGGACUCCGGGCAGCAACUCAAGGGCACAGUAACAAUAAUGGAUGUUAAGUGCUUAUUCGGGGACAAGUAGAUCGUAGCUGCUCCAUGAUUUAUUCCUGUCCCCUAUGAAUAUUCUCCAAGUAAAAUAAAAGGUUUAGAUCUGCGCUACCGCAUACAACAGUUACUUGUCCCAUGUGGCUGGUGCCAGUGAGGCAUGCUCUAAGUGUAAAACCCACACAGUCUCCAAAGACUUCACAGGAAAAGCAGAUGGACAAUAUUGUUUUAGUCCACGCAGGCUGCUAUAACAAAGUACCACAAACUGGGUAGCUUAUAAACAACAGAAAUUUAUUUCUCACAGUUCUAGAGGCUGGAAAGUCCAAGAUCAGGGCCCCUAGCAGAUUCUGUGCCUGACAAGGGCCCACUUUCUGUUUCACAGAUGGCACCUUUUCUUUCUAUCCUUACAUGGUAGAAGGGGUGAGGGAGUCUCUCUCAGUCCUCUUUUUUUUUUUUUUUGAAUCAGAGUCUCGCUCUGUUAUCCAGGCAGGAGUGCAGUGGUGAGUGGUGUGAUCAUGGCUCAUUGCAAUCUCCGCCUCCCUGAUUCAAGCAGCCAUUCUCCCACCUCGGCCUCCUGAGCUCAAGUGAUUCUCCUGCCUCAGACUCUUGAGUAGCUGGGAUUACAGGUACACACCACUAGGCCCGGCUAAUUUUUGUAUUUUUAGUAGAGAUGGGGUUUCACCAUGUUGGCCAGGCUGGUCUCAAACUCCUGACCUCAGGUGAUCCGCCCACCUCGGCCUCCCAAAGUGCUGCUAUUACAGGUGUGAGCCACCACACCUGGCCUCAGGCCUCUUUUUAAAAAAAAUUAUUUAUGUAUUUAUUUAUUUUCAUAGAGAUGUAGUUUUGCUAUGUUGCCCCGGCUGAUCUCCAACUGCUGGCCUCAAGUGAUCCUCCUGCCUUAGCCUCCUGAGUGCUAGGAUUACAGGCCUUUCCUAUAAGGGCUCUAACCCCAUUCUGAGGGCCCCACCCUCAUGACCUAAUCACCUCCCAAAGGCCCCACUUUCUAACACCAUCACUUUGGAGGUUAGGAUUUCAACAUAUAAAUUUUGAGGAGAAACAAACAUUCAGACCAUAGCAAGUACUUUCAUUAAUACUUUUUGUUUGAUUAUAUGUUCAGAUCAUAAUAGAUUUGAUAUAUUAGGUUAAGUAAAAAUAUAUUAUUAAAAUUAAUGUAGCUACUGAAAGUUUCAAAUUAUAUGUAUAACGUACAUUAUAUUUCUAUAGGAGGACAGUAUUGGUCUUUACACAGAUUUUAAGGUUCUGUCCUGCUAUGAGGUUCCAUGAUUCAAAUACGAGCAGUCUUAGAGGGGAAAAGAAGUUCCAGGCAAGCCUUGCACUUAGCCAUCCAAUCCUAGGGAAUUAUCCUACAGAAACACACAUGGGGAUCUGCACGAUGCGUGUAUGUUUGUAGUAUUGUUUGUAGCAUGAAGAAAAAGGCUGAAAACAAACUAAAUGUUCAACAGAAAGGAACUGGUUAAUAAAUGAUAGUACAUCCAUGGGACAUGUACAGGCAUUAAAAAGGCAAGAUAUUUCCCGUAAGAAUCACCUGAGACACUUAUUAAAAAUAUCAAUAUAGGCCAGGUAUGGUGGCUCAUGCUUGUAAUCCCAGCACUUUGGGAGGCCAAGCUCAGAGGAUCACUUAAAGCCAGGAGUCUGAAACCAGCCUGGGCAACAUAGCAAGACCCUGUCUCUACAAAAAAAUUAAAAACAGCCAGGUGUGGUGGCACAUGCCUGUAGUUUCAGCUACAUGGGAAGCUGAGGUGGGAGAAUCACUUGAGCCCGGGAGAUUGAGGCUGCAGUGAGCUACGAUUGUGCCCUUGAACUCCAGCCUUGGGAACAGAACAAGACCCUGUUUCUCUCUCUCUCUCUCUCUCUCUGUCUCUCUCUCUCUCUCCACACACACACACAAAGACUUCCCCAGGUGCCUCCCUGAGAAAUUCUCAUUCAGCAGGUUUGAAGUGAGACCUGUCAAUCUCAAUGUUUAAAAAGCACCCCUGAGAGAUUCUGAUUUCCAGACAAGUUUCCAGACACUAAAACAAUUGGUAAGUAUAUAUAACUGCAUGGAAAAAAUAUGCAAGAUAGUGUUUGGACUUAUAUUCUAUGAUGCAUUUUUGUUUAUAAAACAGGAUUGCAUAUGUAUGUUUGUGUGUAGAAAUACACACACUGAUGUAUAGAAAAGAUUUGGAAGGACAUAAGCCCAGCUGCUAUAGGUGAUUACCUCUUGGAAACGGGAAAAAAGAAAUGGGCUUUGCAUUUUUACUUGCAUACUUCAAUGUUUGUUUGUUUAUGCAUCACUUACAGGAGGGGGACAAGAACCCCCUCGUGAUUUCAUCAGUUCCCAAGUGUUUGGGGAGGGUGAGCAAUGGAGGAAGCCAGGGGUGAGGCAGUCAGCUGCGCUCACAGCCAUGGCGUCACACCCCAGGGACUGCCCAUUGUGAAGUCCCUUGGGGUGCCCCCUCCCUGCACUCUCAUUCUUCCCACUAGCCCCAGACGGGCUCUGCCAUCAACCUGCAGCUCCUCCUGAGCUGCGGCUCUUCCCGCUCUGCCCCCAACACAAGGAGAGCCCCGACUUGGGAGGAGGGCUUUUCAGAUCGCAGCUUGGCCUGAGGCAGAGCCAGAGCGAUGAGGUCACCCAGCACAGCUGCUAACUAUUUCAAGGAAACAGAACCGUGGUCUCAGCCCUGGCUGCAUAUUCCUUCAACGGGAGGGCUUUAGAAAUGCUGUGCCAGAGCUGCACCCCAGACCAACAAAAUCAGACUCUCCAGGAUGCGGCCAAGGCAUCAGUAUGUGGAAAGCUUUCAGGAAAACUGAGCAAAAUGAAAGCCAAUUCAAAGAAGAAGGAAUUAAGUACAUAAUUGUGCAGAUGAUACAUGGAAAUGGAAUAAGUCUGGAGGGCAGCAAGAGUGACUGUCCAGCUAAGAACCUCAUCAGCAAUACAAAACAUUGUCACAGAUGUUGAAACAGACCCUGAGGUUAAUGCAUUCUUUCCAACAUUAGGUCCUAAAACUUCUCCUGAAAAGCUACCUUAAAUCUAACUUUUGAAAGUGCACAAUAAAGGUGAAUUAAAUAAAAGCAACUUGAAAUUU